AGUGAACGCUGGCGGUAGGCCUAACACAUGCAAGUCGAACGGCAGCACAGUAAUAGCUUGCUCUUACGGGUGGCGAGUGGCGGACGGGUGAGGAAUACAUCGGAAUCUACUUUUUCGUAGGGGAUAACGUCGGGAAACUUACGCUAAUACCGCAUACGACCUACGGGUGAAAGCAGGGGAUCUUCGGACCUUGCGCGAUUGCAUGAGCCGAUGUCUGAUUAGCUAGUUGGCGGGGUAACGGCCCACCAAGGCGAAGAUCCGUAGCUGGUCUGAGAGGAGGAGCCGCCACACUGAGAGUGAGAGGCGACACAGAGACUGACGGGAGGCAGAAGUGGGUAAGGUUGGAAAAAGUGCGGAAGCCUGAACAAUCGAUGCAACGUGGAUGAAGAAGGCCUUCGUGUUGUAAAGCCGUUUUGUUGUGAAAGAAAAGUGGCAGGUUAAUACCAGGCUGUUCUGACGGUACCCAAAGAAGAAGCACCGGCUAACUUCGU
rnacentral:rRNA from 1 species